UAGAAAAUAAAAUAUUGCUGGAACUGGGAUCAAGGGAGCCUUGAACUUUGCAGGCACAGAACGAGUAACAAGUGGUGGAGCUCACAUGUUCUGUUUGUUUUAAUUUAUGGUGCUUCCUUCACUCCUUAGUGAUUCAAACCAACAACAGAUGUUGUGAGGCUCUGGUAAACGUGGAGAUGAGAAUUAAAGGAAACAACCUCCGUCUGAAAGGUCACAUCAGUCUGUGUAAGAUAAAAGAAUGCAAGGCUCCCAUCUGAGUUACCCCAGGGAAGAAUCUGGGAUGCAGCUUGUCCACAAUGACAGCCUCUGCCCUGCCAGGUGACUGACGGAGCAAAGAGAGCAUCUGUUUCCUUCCACGUGUAUGUGCCAAAAUAUCAGCUUAUGGAGAGACUGGAAUGGUGCUAACCUGGAGGGAGUCAGCUGAUGGGAGGUCAGGCUGUGCAGGGAGCCUCUGGAAAGGCACAGAGGUUCAGCUCACCUAUGACUUCAGCAACCCAGACAUUACUCAGUGCUCUGACCGCCUACGUUUUCCUCCUUCAUACAGUUUAUCCAAGAUCCAGGAAGUAAUGAGAAAAAAAGUUAGUAAAACUGGUUUAAUAAACAGUAAGUGUGCCCAUACACUGAUAAUGUCAUUAUUGCCAUUUUGUCCUUGGCAUUGCAUGGGUACACAGCAAGUAUGUAUGAUGGACUGGUACAGCAAUGGACUGAUGAUGGACUUGAUACAGCAAGUAUGAUGGACUAGUGUCCAUCCCUUUCUCUCCAAGCAUAUAAAUGAUAAAUGUGCUUUCCAU
rnacentral:lncRNA from 1 species